CCAAAUAUAGAAGAUAAACAUAAGAAAUAAUUUAAAAUCAAUAAGUUAAAGAAUAAAAUUCAUACGUACUCGAUAUAAGGUAGGACUUCCUCCGUAUUCUCCAAGACAUAUAGAUGUGCUUGAUUCAACAGGUCCUGAUCAACUACGCUCACUGUGCAACCUGAUAAUGGCUUUGAAAGUCCCAUCUUUUGGCUUGAAGGCACUCCAACUGUACUAACAUCAGAUAAAUGCUGAGUACAAAACUCUACCGCUUCUUCAGCUAUAUACCGCUCAGCAAUGCAACCUUCGGGACGAGUACGAU
rnacentral:lncRNA from 1 species